rnacentral:misc_RNA from 1 species
CACAAAAUGUUGCAAAUUUACGAAAAUUAACUGAUUUGUGUCAAUUUUGUAUGUUUUUUUGUACUAUUUAUUACAAAAAAUAAAUAAUCUAGAUCACAAAUUGAGAUAAUAGACGGCUUUACUGGCAUGGAUAUUUCCCUGAAGUGUUAUUUGGUUUCAUUUGUAACCGUGAAGAGUUCUGACUAAGUGUCU